GACGAACGCUGGCGGCGUGCCUAAUACAUGCAAGUAGAACGCACAGUUUAUACCGUAGCUUGCUACACCAUAGACUGUGAGUUGCGAACGGGUGAGUAACGCGUAGGUAACCUGCCUGGUAGCGGGGGAUAACUAUUUGAAACGAUAGCUAAUACCGCAUAAUAUUGAUUAUUGCAUGAUAAUUUAUUGAAAGAUGCUAUUGCAUCACUACCAGGUGGACCUGCGUUGUAUUAGCUAGUAGGUGAGGUAACGGCUCACCUAGGCGACGAUACAUAGCCGACCUGAGAGGGUGAUAGGCCACACUGGGACUGAGACACGGCCCAGACUACUACGGGAGGCAGCAGUAGGGAAUCUUCGGCAAUAGACGAAAGUCUGACCGAGCAACGCCGCGUGAGUGAAGAAGGUUGUCGGAUCGUAAAGCUCUGUUGUAAGAGAAGAACGGGUGUGAGAGUGGAAAGUUCACACUGUGACGGUAUCUGAACAGAAAGGGACGGCUAACUACGUG
rnacentral:rRNA from 1 species